rnacentral:rRNA from 1 species
GAUGAACGCUGACAGAAUGCUUAACACAUGCAAGUCUUUGGCGAAGCUGUGCUUGCACAGCCUAGCCAAGGCGGACGGGUGAGUAACGCGUCAGGAACUUGCCCUGCAGUCAGGGAUAACAGACGGAAACGACUGAUAAGACCUGGUAAAGUCAGGCGGACUCAUGUCCAGCCUGAUGAAAAGAGAUGCUGCAGGAGAGCCUUGCGUUCUAUUAGCUUGUUGGUGGGGUAACGGCCCACCAAGGCGAUGAUAGGUAGCCGGCCUGAGAGGGUGGACGGCCACAAGGGGACUGAGAUACGGCACUUACGCCUACGGGAGGCAGCAGUGGGGAAUAUUGGACAAUGGGGGCAACCCUGAUCCAGCAAUUCUGUGUGCACGAUGAAGGUUUUCGGAUUGUAAAGUGCUUUCAGCAGGGAAGAAAAAAAUGACGGUACCUGCAGAAGAAGCGACGGCUAAAUACGUG